GUUUGAUCCUGGCUCAGGACGAACGCUGGCGGCGUGCUUAACACAUGCAAGUCGAACGAUGAUGACGGGGCUUGCCUCGUCUGAUUAGUGGCGAACGGGUGAGUAACACGUGAGUAACCUGCCCCAGACUCUGGGAUAACUCCGGGAAACCGGAGCUAAUACCGGAUAUGACAUUUGGCCGCAUGGUCGGGUGUGGAAAGUUUUUCGGUUUGGGAUGGGCUCGCGGCCUAUCAGCUUGUUGGUGAGGUAGUGGCUCACCAAGGCGACGACGGGUAGCCGGCCUGAGAGGGCGACCGGCCACACUGGGACUGAGACACGGCCCAGACUCCUACGGGAGGCAGCAGUGGGGAAUAUUGCACAAUGGGCGAAAGCCUGAUGCAGCGACGCCGCGUGAGGGAUGACGGCCUUCGGGUUGUAAACCUCUUUCAGCAGGGAAGAAGCGCAAGUGACGGUACCUGCAGAAGAAGCACCGGCUAACUACGUGCCAGCAGCCGCGGUAAUACGUAGGGUGCGAGCGUUGUCCGGAAUUAUUGGGCGUAACGAGCUUGUAGGCGGUUUGUCGCGUCUGCUGUGAAAAUCCGGGGCUCAACUCCGGACUUGCAGUGGGUACGGGCAGACUAGAGUGUGGUAGGGGAGACUGGAAUUCCUGGUGUAGCGGUGGAAUGCGCAGAUAUCAGGAGGAACACCGAUGGCGAAGGCAGGUCUCUGGGCCACUACUGACGCUGAGAAGCGAAAGCAUGGGGAGCGAACAGGAUUAGAUACCCUGGUAGUCCAUGCCGUAAACGUUGGGCGCUAGGUGUGGGACCCAUUCCACGGGUUCCGUGCCGCAGCUAACGCAUUAAGCGCCCCGCCUGGGGAGUACGGCCGCAAGGCUAAAACUCAAAGGAAUUGACGG
rnacentral:rRNA from 1 species